CACAUACUCCCUUCGUUCCGAAUUACUUGUUGCAGAAAUGAAUGUAUCUAGAACUAAAAAAUGUCUAGAUACAUCCAUUUCUACGACAAGUAAUUCCGAACGGAGGGAGUACUUC
rnacentral:pre_miRNA from 1 species